CACCCGUUCCCAUUCCGAACACGGAAGUUAAGCUCUUUAGCGCCGAUGGUACUGCAUGGGUGACUGUGUGGGAGAGUAGGGAGCCGCCGGGA
rnacentral:rRNA from 1 species